rnacentral:rRNA from 1 species
CGCUAGUAAUCGCGGAUCAGCAUGCCGCGGUGAAUACGUUCCCGGGCCUUGUACACACCGCCCGUCACACCAUGAGAGUUUGUAACACCCAAGCCGGUGGGGUAACCUUUUGGAGCCAGGCCGUCUAAGGGUGGGACAGAUGAUUAGGGUGAAGUCGUAACAAGGUACC